GUUUCUGAGGAGAAUUGAGGAUUUAGUAAUUAAAAUGUUCCUGACUGCUGUGAAUUUGAGUUUGUUUCUCUGAAUACCACCCACCUGUGCGAUAUUCUUGGAUGAUUCAGACAAAACUCAUGGGAGGGUCCAGGUUGACAUAACUGAAGCAUUUCCAUAGAGAGCCACUUUGCAUCAGCAGCACCAUGCUCCAGUGCUCUGGGAGAGUUUAUAGUCCUGAGAGUUGAACACUGGAUGACUGACAGCUGUCCUUCAUGACAACAGAAGACACAGAAAUCCUCCUCAUCAAAAACAUGACUUUGACCUGCGUCCUCAUCUGGACUCUCCUCUGCUGCUGCUUCACAGAGUCCAGAGGUCAGAUCACAGUGACUCAGCCUGCAGCAGUGAGUUCUGCUCUGGGAGGCUCCGUCACCAUCAACUGUAGGACCAGUCAGAGGGUUCAUGGUGGGAGCUAUUUAGCCUGGUACCAACAGAGAGAUGGAGAAACUCCUAAACUUCUCAUUUACACUGCAAGCACUCGAGCAUCAGGGAUUCCAGAUCGUUUUACAGGCAGUGGAUCAAACUCUGCCUUCACUCUGACCAUCAGUGGAGUUCAGGCUGAAGAUGCAGCAGUUUACUACUGUCAGAGUUUCCACUAUCCCAACAGUCAGUAUGUGUUCACACAGUGAAAAACCGUCAUACAAAAACCUCCCUCAGUCAGACUGAACAGAAACUGAACUGACUGCUGCAGCUGGAAGCUACUGCAGAGACUGAUACACUUCACUGAGGACACACACACACACACACACACACACACACACACACACACACACACACACACACACACACACUCAGCUUGAUAACACAAGAUUAGAACAUUUCUUAAUCGAAGACAACAUGAGGACACAGAGCAGCAUCAGAAUCAAUUCUGAUCAAGGUUGUCUCAAAAAAAGCUGUUAUCCUCAAAUCACAACUGAUAUUAUCUUAAACAAAUAAAAUGAUGUCCAGUGAAUAAAAGUUAAAUGUCUGCUAUGAUCAUAAAAAAGGAUCAAUGACAAAAUUAUAUCUUCAUCUGAAACAAUAUCAACUUCACAUUAAAAAGUGAAAUAAUUGACUG